rnacentral:rRNA from 1 species
GGCACCUGGUGGCGAGUGGCGAACGGGUGAGUAACAUAUCGGAACAUGUCCGGAAGUGGGGGAUAACGUAGCGAAAGUUACGCUAAUACCGCAUAUGCCCUGAGGGGGAAAGGGGGGGAUUCGCAAGAACCUCUCGCUUUCGGAGUGGCCGAUAUCGGAUUAGCUAGUAGGUGAGGUAAAGGCUCACCUAGGCGACGAUCCGUAGCGGGUCCGAGAGGACGACCCGCCACACUGGAACUGAGACACGGUCCAGACUCCUACGGGAGGCAGCAGUGGGGAAUUUUGGACAAUGGGCGCAAGCCUGAUCCAGCCAUACCGCGUGAGUGAAGAAGGCCUUCGGGUUGUAAAGCUCUUUCGGCCGGAAAGAAAUCGCGUUUAUUAAUACUAAGCGUGGAUGACGGUACCGGAAGAAGAAGCACCGGCUAACUACGUGCCAGCAGCCGCGGUAAUACGUAGGGUGCGAGCGUUAAUCGGAAUUACUGGGCGUAAAGCGUGCGCAGGCCGUUUUGUAAGACAGAUGUGAAAUCCCCGGGCUCAACCUGGGAACUGCAUUUGUGACUGCAAGACUAGAGUGUAGCAGAGGGGGGUAGAAUUCCACGUGUAGCAGUGAAAUGCGUAGAGAUGUGGAGGAAUACCGAUGGCGAAGGCAGCCCCCUGGGCUAACACUGACGCUCAUGCACGAAAGCGUGGGGAGCAAACAGGAUUAGAUACCCUGGUAGUCCACGCCCUAAACGAUGUCAACUAGGUGUUGGGGAAGGAGACUUCUUUAGUACCGCAGCUAACGCGUGAAGUUGACCGCCUGGGGAGUACGGUCGCAAGAUUAAAACUCAAAGGAAUUGACGGGGAC